UGGGGGUUCUCACAGCGGAGCAGGGUAAGGCUGGCUCCCAGAGUCGAGGAUUGGAGUGACCUAGCAGAUCGCUGGCCAGAUAACACCAGGGGAACGUCACACUGUCUCAAAUUUGUUUUUAGCUGAAGUCAGUACUUGGAAAUGACAUCACUUGCUUCUUGAUGGUUAUAAAAAAGUAAACUCUGUUAGAGUUCAUUGUUCACAUCUGCCUGACCACGUUGGAGCCCAUCAACAUGGGUCUAAGCACCCCUGGGAUUAGCCUGUUUGUCAUGACAAGCUGCAGGCUGUACUUGGUGGAGACUCCACCGCUACCAUGCAUGCUACUGUGGAUGUCUCCGAGGAGCCUAAGCCACGGGCCCCUGCCAUGAACUGGAAGGAGGACAAGCAGAGAGAGGUGACAUGCAGGCAGGGCCGGCUCCAGGCACCAGGCAACCAAGCACAUGCUUGGGGCGGCACCUGGAGCUGUUGCUGUUAUGGGGCCCCUCCACACCCACAGAACACUUGACCCUGAUGAGGAGAAAGAAGAGGAUUAGAGAGGACAUACGGAAUGAGGUCCUGCAAGCUGGUGCUGCAUCAGACCGUGAACAAAGGGCCUGAGGGCUGAUGGUAUGGAGAGGGGAAAAGUGGACAGAAGAAAUGCCAGCAGGGGGAGGGGGAGAUACACCAAGACUUAAUAGGAGCAAAUUUAAAUGCUGCAGACCCUGGUUGACCAACAGGUCCAAAUAUCCCAUACUCACCUUUGCAGACCUUGGAGAACUCCAUGGCAGCAGCUCCCUAUACCCCCCCCAACAUACCAUGUGGCAUCCUGGGCUACAUCCCUAUCCUUACCACUCCACAGGGGGACACAGCAAGGAAAACCACAGCUUCACACAUACACUGCCCCAUGAGAACCACGGCAGGUGUAUGUGUAGCCACAAUGGACUACAUUUGUACACUCAGAUGGGCAAAAAUGUCAAGCCUAGUGGUUGGAGCAGGAGUUGGUAGCCAGGAAUAGGAGCCCAGGGUCAGAGAUGGAGUCACAGGCCAGAUGCCAGAGAUGGAGUCAUAAGUUAGGAAUUUGAGCCAAGGGUCAGAACUGAGUUACCUGGAGUGAGGCAAGACAGGGCACAAGGCAGGAGCAGGAGCUGUCUCAGCCAUGGGCGAAUGCUUUGAGGAGCUGCCAAAAUACUGCUGCUGCUGGUCUUAAGACUUGAUCCGGUGACUCUUUCCACCAAUCAGGCAGUGUGGCCACUGGGCAGCCUACUGCAUGCCAGCUGCAUUUGUUACAUUGCUCGGAGACUGGUUCUGCUGCAGACCCUGAUUCCUGACAACACCAGUGAUACGAGUUAACCAAAGUUUGUAGUGUAGACAUGGCCUUAGUCUUUUAAGUUGCUGUAAUUCUGUAGCUGAACAACACCCUUCUUUUCUCAGUGCUAGUCUUUCAUUCUGUUUGGCUGCAGACUGGACAUGAUGGCAAUGUAUCUGUUUGGUUUUUUUUAAACUGUCUUUGCAAAACAAAGGGCUAUAUACACUGUCAUCCUCCCCCCUUCCCCUGUUCCCGCUUCUGCAAGAAAGCUCAGAUUCUGAAGAACAGCAAAAAUCUAUGAAAGACCUCAAAUUUGCAAUUUCCAUGGCACGGAUGUGUAUUGUCUAUAAUGAUGAUGGUCAUAAAAGCCAGGGCUCUGAAAUAAAAGUGAUAAUUUCUA